CUCCGGUUGAUCCCGCCGGACCUGACUGCUAUCGGAUUGGUACUAAGCCAUGCGAGUCAUUGUAGCAAUACAAGGCGGACGGCUCAGUAACACGUAGUCAACCUAACUCGUGGACGUGGAUAACCUCGGGAAACUGAGAAUAAACCACGAUAGACCAUAGUGCCUGGAAUGGCUUAUGGUCCAAACAGUUUACUGCCAUGGGAUGGGACUGCGGCCUAUCAGCUUGUUGGUGAGGUAAUGGCCCACCAAGGCGAUUACAGGUACGGGCUCUGAGAGGAGAAGCCCGGAGAUGGGUACUGAGACACGGACCCAGGCCCUAUGGGGCGCAGCAGGCGAGAAACCUUAGCAAUGUGCGAAAGCACGACUGGGUCAGUCCGAGUGAUUCCUGAUAAAGGAGUCUUUUGCUUGUCCUAAAAGCACAGGUGAAUAAGGGGUGGGCAAGUCUGGUGUCAGCCGCCGCGGUAAUACCAGCACCUCGAGUGGUCAGGACGUUUAUUGGGCCUAAAGCAUCCGUAGCCGGCUUUGCAAGUCUUCGGUUAAAUCCACCUGCUCAACAGAUGGGCUGCUGGAGAUACUACAAAGCUAGGGAGUGGGAGAGGCAGACGGUAUUCAGUGGGUAGGGGUAAAAUCCUCUGAUCCAUCGAGGACCACCAGUGGCGAAGGCGGUCUGCCAGAACACGUUCGACGGUGAGGGAUGAAAGCUGGGGGAGCAAACCGGAUUAGAUACCCGGGUAGUCCCAGCUGUAAACGAUGCAAACUCGGUGAUGCAUUGGCUUAUGGCCAAUGCAGUGCCGCAGGGAAGCCGUUAAGUUUGCCGCCUGGGAAGUACGGACGCAAGUCUGAAACUUAAAGGAAUUGGCGGGGGAGCA
rnacentral:rRNA from 1 species